UCCAUUAAAUUUCAUAUUAGUAAAUUCAAUUAGAUCAUCCCAGUCAGAUGUAGAAUCUCGACGAUCUACAUUCUCGAUUAUUUUUUUAGAGAUUUAUAAUAAUGAAACAAAAAAUAGUCAAUUGUCGGUUUGAAGAGCUCUUCGUCCGAAAGAGACUAUUAUUCAUAACUUAUUUGCUGCCGCAUUGUUCCCUUUUGGAUUGUGCAUACAAGCUCUCAAACUAAUUACUGUGAAAUUUCCUGCAUUCCACGUUUAAUGCGAACCUAAAAUUGGCAGGAUUGGCAAGUUGCGUGGUAGAAACUCUGUCAGAGAUACAAUCAUAGGUUAUUUGGAAAUAACCGAUCUUCUGCUAACGGAUAGAGAUCAAUUCCCGAACGAGAGGAGCAAAUUUGCGCAACCAGCAAAACUGUCUUUUUUUAUAAAUGAUAAGAUAAAGGAGGACUUGCUUGAAAAGGAUCAUUUCGGAAAGAAAAGAUUUGCAAUGAUAUUUUAUCAAGAUCGGAUGAUAAGAUAUUUGUAAGGUAAAUGAAUUGCAGGCUUGUAUUUUGCAUUUUACAAGUAAAGGAAUAUUAUGAAGAAUGAUGUUUAUCUCUUCAUAAUUAUUUUCAUCGUCGCCAUUAACAAGAAACUAAAGCUUUGCGAAUAAUUAUAAAUUCUGGUAAGGAGUGUAGCUCGUUAUUUAUUCGAAAAUAAUUGUUCCCGACGGUUUUGAUGACUACUAUGGGAAUAAUUAUUUCAAACAUCACGAUGGAAUGUAGAUAAUAGAAUUAUCUUUUAGAAACUGUUAAAUUCGCGAACAUUCUCAACCUAGUUAACUAUGAAACAUCCCCAUAACUAUCUAAUAGUAUUUAGGGUACAGUAUGUGUUGUCAAUGAUUUCUCUCUCUUUCAUUCUUUCUCUCUAUCUAUCUAUCUCUGUCUCUGUCUCUCUUAAAACAAAUUAUAUUGUACCAGUUGUAUUUGAAAGAGUUAAAAUAAACGUUUAAUUUAGUAA